UCCGCACUGGAGCUCACGAAUCGGGCAGCUUCCGUGUCAGCUAGAGCACGGCCUUUUCUCCCGCGUGGCCCAAAUUAGAAGGGGGAAGAAACGAACGGGAAACAGAGAAGAGCCGUUAUUCGUAACGGACUACAUGUUCCAAGAGGCUGUGCGGAAGAACCGGUCCUUUCGCCGUUUUCCCGACAAGCUUUGCGACCUCGACUGGUUCUCUGUUUCGCCUCUCCUUCCCGUCCUCGUACUCUUAGAAAGUUCAAUGAUAUUCCCAGCAAUGCUUUGCGACGGAUAGGCGUGUCGGGACUUUAUUUCCCUCUGUGGUUCAGGUUAUAUUUUUUUACCCCCUCCCUUCAUCUCUAUCUCAUCCUUGCAAUUCGCGCCCAAGCACGGGCCAUCCCAGGUCUGUGAACGAGGGCGGAGUUUGCCGCGAGUGCUACAAAGAGAGAGAGAGAGAGAUUCGUGUCUGAUCCGUAGGAGUGUUUGGGCGUUACAUCUCCUUUGGGCGUCAGAUCUCUUCCUUCAUUUUAAGAAUAGCUCGAGGAGUUGGUGCAUUUAUUAAAAGCUCAGAGCACAGCGGUAUAUUAGUUCUCUGAAAUGGGUGGAAAGAAUGAGCACGUGAGGAUCACAACUGAGCACAAGCCUGGGUUUCUGGAGCGCCUCAGCGAGACUUCUGGAGGGAUGCUUGUUGGCCUUGCCACCUUUGCCCUGUCUUUCUACAUUCUUUUUACCAAUGAGGGACGAACUUUGAAAACAGCCUCCUCUUUAGCUGAGGGGCUUUCUCUAGUCGUCUCACUUGACAACAUCCAGAUUAUAUCCCAUGAGAAUGACAAGAAACUUGUGCACUUAUCUGGUAUCCUUAGAACAUCAAAGCCUCUGUAUGAUCCCAGCUAUGGGCUUUCUAUCCGGGCAGUCAAGCUCAAACGUCAGGUGGAGAUGUAUCAGUGGGUUGAGUAUGAAGAGUCCAAAGAAUACGAAGAAAAUGGUAAAGUGAACAAAGAAACAAAAUAUUCUUACAAUACAGAAUGGAAAUCAGAAGUUGUGAACAGCAGAAAUUUUGAUCGAGAAAUUGGACAUAAAAACCCUAGUGCCAUGGCUGUUGAAUCUUUCACUGCAGUUGCUUCUGAUGUUCAAGUUGGCAAGUUCUUCCUUUCCAGAGGCCUCAUUGAGAAGAUUAAUAAUUUCAAGCAGAUGAGCCUAUCAAAAUUGGAAGACCCUCACGCAGAUGUGAUCCGCUCAGGCGAUUACUUCUUUCAUAGUGAGAAUCCACGACGUCCAGAAGUUGGGGAUCUUCGUGUUUCAUUCUCCUAUGCAGGUUUGAGUGAAGACUUAUCACGCACGGGUCCACCAGAUAUGGUGACCAUAGUUGCUCGCCAGCAAGAGGAUCACUUAGUUCCAUAUCAAACUAAAUCUGGGGAUGUCUUAAAUAUUCUCUAUCCCGGAGAGCUCACAGCUGAGGAAGUAUUUCAAAAAGAACAUGAGAGUAACAGCAUGAAGACCUGGGGCCUCCGUGCAGCUGGAUGGCUGUCUAUGUUUUUAGGCAUCAGCCUUAUGACCAGAAUUAUUUAUACCCUGGUGGAUUGGUUUCCAGUUGUCCGGGAUCUGGUUGACAUUGGUUUGAAAGGAUUUGCCUUUUGUUUAGCCACUUGUCUCUCAUUGCUGACCAUUUCGGUUGGCUGGUUCUUCUAUCGGCCCUUCUGGGCAAUAUCGAUUGGUUUGUUGGCUGUAAUUCCCAUUCUGAUUGCAAGAUCUCAGGUUCCAUCAAAGAAACAGCAGUGACAUCAUGGAGGAAGCGCCUUCUUUGUAACCACAUGUCUUUGGAAACGUCAUACAUUCAAUGCUUUCAUCAGAUUUGAAGAAAGUGCCAUCAUGGCUAUUUUUGAUCAAAACAAAACACUUCUUCAUAUUGCAGUACAGAAAAUGCAACAUCAGUGUGUUCUAUAAUGGUUCUAGAUGUGCCACUUUCGCAAUCCAGGGGUACAUCGAAUUAAUCUGAGAGCAACAACUACACCAAAGCUCUAGAAGUAAAUAAGUUUAUUAGCAUCAUCUGGAUCUACCGUUUCCUUGAAUUUAGGAUUCCAAACUUAAAUUUGGAUUCAUUGGUUUGGUGCUAUCUAAUGUCAUUUCACUAAAGUCUAGCUAUAAUUUGCCAUUGCCAUGGAGUUGUUCAUCAUUUUGUUAAGAUGUCAAUUGUAUCACUGGGGCAGAAUGAAGCAUGGUGGCUGCUUCCAACUAAAAUCUUAAGUUUAUAUUCUCUAUUUUUACAAUAUCAUUUUUAAAAGUUUCUAUGGAUGCAAAUGCCUAUUUUCUAUUUUAUGAAUAAAAUUCAAGAAAAAUA